ensembl:lincRNA
GACAGUCAUGCACAAACCACAGCUACAGGGGAGGUGUGAAGCAAGGCCUGGGGAAAGCCUGAAAAGACACAAAAAUCCAGGGGAACUGGUAUGGAGCAAUCCUGUGAACGCUUUCCUCAGGCGUCAGCUGUGCAUGCACUGGUCAGCGUCCAGCGUGGCCACAGCAGGGCUUUGAGUGUGUCAUCUCUUCAGAGCGACGUGACUGGUCCAGGUAAAUUCUCCAGAUCUGGUUACAAGCUGUUUUCAACUUUUCUAGAGCUUUGUGGCCUGCAUGCGGCAUGUAGUCUACAAAAGCAGGCCCGCUGCUGCUGCUGCCAGUGGUCCAAGAGGCCUUGCUAGCCUCUUCCCUCGACUCCACCCUGCUCAGUCCUUGCGUGCCUACUUGGUCCUUUCCGCCAGGCCUCGGGUCCGCUCGUUUAUCCUCGGGUCUCUCCGCGCCUCCUCGGUCCUUUCCGCCAGGCUUCGGGUUUAUUUGUUUAUUCUCGGGUCCCUCCGUGACUCCUUGGUUAUUUCCGCCAGGCUCCUUCAGCCUCAGUGCCAUCCAUUUCUCCCGGCGCCUUCCAUCCAUCUGGGUGGCCCAGAUGUUCCUUUUCCGGUCUCUCAGCCCCUCGUCCCGUCCCUCUGCGCCCCUUGGGUCCCUCCGCGCCUCCGCAUGGGUUCCCUAGCGCCUCGCGGCUCCCGCGCCCACCCCGCCACGCUCCCGCCCGGGCCGGGCUCCUGCAGUCCCUGCUCCUGGCUCUGGGUGGCGCUGUGCUCACUCAGCGCUCCAGCCCAGGACGUCGGGCGUCCUUCCCGCGUUCUGCCCAGUGCGGGACCCGGACCAAGAAGGACUAAGAAAAAGGGUCGCCCUCUGCGAAAUGGGGACGAACGUCUGUGUUUUACAUCUCGUUUCUCUUCGUGGAUGAACCUGGGAAUCUCCCGGCGGUGCAGAGCCUUGCUCUUUUCGGCAUUCUGCAGGAAAAUCUAA